CUGAUUCUGUGGGUUUCCCCAUCAUGGUCUUGACUCCUUUGUUCUCAUUAUCGCUCCUCCCUCAUUUUGAUUGUACUCCAGGAGCUCAGCCCAAUGGUUAGUUGUGGAUUUCUGCAUCUGCUUCCAUCUGUUUCUGGAAGAGGGUUCUAGCUUCUCUGUGGUUAUGGAUUGUAAGCUGGCUAUCUUUUGUUUUAUGUCUGGUAUCCACUUAUGAAUUUGCUGUAGGCAAGAUCCACUGACCAAUACUCAAAAAGAGAAUGAAAUGGUUACAGAGACACAGAAUACAGCCUCAAAGUGUCUUCUUGGAGCCCCUAAUUGCUGCAGUGGAUUUAAUAGCUGUCCCCACUUUGAUGCCCCUCUCCUGGGAAGCAGAACUCAAUUCUCUUACCCUUGAAUGAAGACUGGACUCAGAGGCUCAAUUCUCAAGGAAGGAAAAGAAGAGUAACUUUACAGUAAAGAAACCUGGCAGCAGACAUGACCUUGGGACCACGUGACUAAGGUUAACAUCCUGGCCACAAGGGACACUGCUAUCAUGUAUCAACAACAUGACUCAAGGAGAGGGGUACGUCAUCCUGUGACCUUCUUUCUUCAAACCAAUAACCACAGUCUGAUUUAGAGAAACAUGAGAUAAGGCCUCAUGGAACAUUCUACAAAAAUACCUAAACAGUGCUCUUCAUAGGGCCAAGGUUGCUGGGACUGGGGGUUAGUAACUUGUAAUCCCAACCUUGGGAAGCUAAACCAGACAGAUAGCCAUGAGUUCAAAGUUAACCUGAUCUGCAGAGUGAGGCCUUUUCUCAAAAAAACAAACAAAAGAAAUGCCAGGAUCAUGAAAAAAUAAGACUGAGAAAUUAUCAUAGAUAGGACAAAGCCCAGGGUCUCAGACAUUGCGUCUUCUUGUUUUUUGAAACAUAAGCACGUUAUUAUCUACAAUAGCCCUACUGCAGUUAACACCGGCACUAGCUUCUCUUAUCUAACUAUAAUUUAGUGCCCUAUCACAUGUCUCCAUGACUUCCUACCCCUUGGUUUUACUUUUUUCCCCCCAUUCACAAGAAAGAAAGGAAGGGAGGAAAGAAAAGAGAGAGAAAGGAAAGG
rnacentral:lncRNA from 1 species